rnacentral:lncRNA from 1 species
AAUAAUUUUUUUAUAUUCAACCACAGUGCCAAAAACAUGUAUGUAAAAUUUCAGAUCAAUUGGACAACGUUUACCCACUCAAAUGAAUUUUUUUUGAACAAUUUUUCUGGGUAAAACUGCUGUUUGUGCUUUAAAAAAUAGAGAUCAGUUUAGAAAUCAACCAAGAACACCCAAAACGCCCAAAAUCUGAUACCAAAUGAUACGGGAUUGCGCGCGGACCAAGAUCGAGUUGCCAAGUCACGGGAAACUCCUACGAAAACCCUAAACAAUUAGAUCUGAAACGAAACAGAAAAUUAAAAGAUUAGAUUUUUGAAUUUUCAGAUCUGAAAUAAAAUCCCCAAAUCAGCAAAGAAUCAAAUUGAGAAUAGAAAUAAGUGUUAGGGUUCUUGAAACCCUCAAGGAGAUUGUGAUUCUGCCCAAUUGAACACCAAGAUAGUUUUCCCCAAAUUUCGACAAUCUAAUUUCACCAAAAAAGAGUAUGGAAAAACCCUAGAAAUUGGGGAUUUUUGGGCUGAUUCUUUA